rnacentral:piRNA from 1 species
UGUUAAGCAUGACCCCCAUGGGAUGCUGGGA